AACGAACGUUAGCGGCGCGCUUAACACAUGCAAGUCGCACGAGAAAGGGCUUCGGCCCCGGUACAGUGGCGCACGGGUGAGUAACACGUGGGUAAUCUUCCCUCUGGCGGGGGAUAACCUUCCGAAAGGAGGGCUAAUACCGCAUAAGACCACGACUCCGAAAGGAGACGAGGUUAAAGCUGGCCUCUAUACAUAAGCUAGCACCAGAGGAUGAGCCCGCGGCCCAUCAGGUAGUUGGUAGGGUAACGGCCUACCAAGCCUAAGACGGGUAGCUGGUCUGAGAGGAUGAUCAGCCACACUGGAACUGAGACACGGUCCAG
rnacentral:rRNA from 1 species